rnacentral:tRNA from 4 species
GCGCGUAUAGCUCAGCUGGUAGAGCACACGACUGAUACUCGUGAGGUCCUUGGUUCGAACCCAAGUGCGCGCACAA